rnacentral:misc_RNA from 1 species
AAAUGCGAUAAGUAAUGUGAAUUGCAGAAUUCAGUGGAUCAUCGAAUCUUUGAACGCACCUUGCGCUCCUUGGUAUUCCUUGGAGCAUGCCUGUUUGAGUAUCAUGAAAUCUUCAAAGUAAAUCUUUUGUUAACUCAAUUGGUUUCUACUUUGGUAUUGGAGGUCUUUGCAGCUUCACACCUGCUCCUCUUUGUUCAUUAGCUGGAUCUCAGUGUUAUGCUUGGUUCCACUCGGCGUGAUAAGUUAUCUAUCGCUGAGGACACUGUAAAAGGUGGCCAAGGUAAAUGCAGAUGAACCGCUUCUAAUAGUCCAUUGACUUGGACAAUACUUUUAUGAUCUGAUCUCAAAUCAGGUAGGACUACCCGCUGAACUUAAGC